rnacentral:rRNA from 1 species
AGAGUUUGAUCCUGGCUCAGGACGAACGCUGGCGGCGUGCUUAACACAUGCAAGUCGAACGGAAAGGCCCUUCGGGGUACUCGAGUGGCGAACGGGUGAGUAACACGUGGGUGAUCUGCCCUGCACUUUGGGAUAAGCCUGGGAAACUGGGUCUAAUACCGAAUAGGACCGCGCUCUUCAUGGGGUGUGGUGGAAAGCUUUUGCGGUGUGGGAUGGGCCCGCGGCCUAUCAGCUUGUUGGUGGGGUAAUGGCCUACCAAGGCGACGACGGGUAGCCGGCCUGAGAGGGUGACCGGCCACACUGGGACUGAGAUACGGCCCAGACUCCUACGGGAGGCAGCAGUGGGGAAUAUUGCACAAUGGGCGCAAGCCUGAUGCAGCGACGCCGCGUGAGGGAUGACGGCCUUCGGGUUGUAAACCUCUUUCAAUAGGGACGAAGCGCAAGUGACGGUACCUAUAGAAGAAGGACCGGCCAACUACGUGCCAGCAGCCGCGGUAAUACGUAGGGUCCGAGCGUUGUCCGGAAUUACUGGGCGUAAAGAGCUCGUAGGUGGUUUGUCGCGUUGUUCGUGAAAACUCACAGCUUAACUGUGGGCGUGCGGGCGAUACGGGCAGACUAGAGUACUGCAGGGGAGACUGGAAUUCCUGGUGUAGCGGUGGAAUGCGCAGAUAUCAGGAGGAACACCGGUGGCGAAGGCGGGUCUCUGGGCAGUAACUGACGCUGAGGAGCGAAAGCGUGGGGAGCGAACAGGAUUAGAUACCCUGGUAGUCCAA